rnacentral:tRNA from 1 species
AGAGCUGUAGUUAAUUAUAACAUUUGAUUUGCAUUCAAAAAGUAUUGAUUCAUCAAUCUGCUUUA